rnacentral:rRNA from 1 species
UACGGGGUGGGCAAGCGUUGUUCGGAAUUACUGGGCGUAAAGGGCUCGUAGGCGGCCAACUAAGUCAGACGUGAAAUCCCUCGGCUCAACCGGGGAACUGCGUCUGAGACUGGAAGGCUUGAAUCCGGGAGAGGGAUGUGGAAUUCCAGGUGUAGCGGUGAAAUGCGUAGAUAUCUGGAGGAACACCGGUGGCGAAGGCGGCAUCCUGGACCGGUAUUGACGCUGAGGCGCGAAAGCCAGGGGAGCAAACGGG